rnacentral:lncRNA from 1 species
GAGAGCAUCCUCGAGCUACAAAGAAAACGUAGUGUCUGAAGUAUAUUGCUCAACUCGCAACGAAAUGGAAAAACAGUAUACAUGUAUAUGCUAUUACCACUUCGUCCCUUGCUGAGGUUGGGUAAACUCUCUUCACAUCGUCCGGAAAAGCAUGAGCUUUGCACGUAGGACACUAUGUGUCAUAAAAGAAAAANAAAUUAAAAAGCCUCAUGGUAAACUCCGUGUAUAAAAAAUCUAAGGUGUUGAGUUUUUGUUUAGAUUGGUCUUACAAGCGAAGGCAUACCUUUCAUCCAUGUAUUUAUGCACCUCUCCCCGAAGAUAUGCCCACAACUUAGAGUACUGUGCAGUCAUUCACGUAGUUAUAAUCAGAUAUUUUGGGUUACAUUCGAAGAAAAACCUCAAAUG